UUAAUGUUAAUUAAUGUUAUUACAUAUGUUAAUCAUUCGAUUAUGUUAUCCUCGAGUGUUAGACUGGGACGUGCAAUGUUGCGACGGUUCAAGAUCAAUAUUUAUCUCCAAGUAUAAUUAAAUUGUUAAAAAAAAUUGUAUUUUUUGUAAGCGGGGAACAUUUUUUGUCUAAAUGUUGAAUACACGAGAAAUGUUAUAAAUUAUCAAUUUUAAAUUGGCAUAUUUUUAUCAAUGUUAGUAGCUAAUCCUAAAUUUAUAUAGAAGAUUUAUAAUUAAAAGUAUUAACAAUUAAUACGAAAAAUUCAUUCGCAUAUUUAAAAAACAUAAUAAGUAUUAAUUAUCUGAAUUUGAUUUGGCCAAUUGUUUGUGUUGUGUAAACACAAAAAAAAUAUGUAAAUCAAAUAAUUGUUCAUGAAGUCAUAUCAUAUGCAGUAUUUUAAUCAAACUAUAGUAAAAAUCUAGAUAACGUGUGCCUGUUGCCUUAUAAAGAGCAUAUAUAAAUUAUUUUAGCAACACAAUGUCCCAUAAUAGUCGCGAGUGUUCUAAAAUAUUUCACAAAGUUAUUAGGGGAUCGUUCACUAAAACAUAAAUUUAUCACUUAAUAUAGUAUAUAUUUUAAAUAUUCCAAUUUUAUUCAAUAAAAUCAUUAUUUUAGUGAAAUUUUUCUUUCCUAAUGAUUUCUAUAAUAUAUACGUAUAUAAUCCCCUAAUUACUUCAAUUAAUAUUCACUUUCACUAAGUAUAGUAAAGAAAUUUUCGUUUAAAAUAAUAAAAAAAAAAUUGUAGAUCUAAGAUUUAAUUGUGAUGUUAAGGUUAUGUUUUCAGCUACUACUGAAAUAUUUUCACGAAACGAAUUAAUGUUAUAUCUAAUGCCUAAUUAAUACCUAAAAAGAUAUAUGUUGCAACACAACUGAGUCCAUGGAUAUUCCCCGUAAAUAUAAUCGUUAUACGUAGAUUUCUUCGUGUUCCAAAAUCAAAACGUGCCUGGUAUAAUCGUUGACGAAUUACUAUUAUAUAGUUAGAAUAGCAACAAAGUAUACCGGUGGAAAAAGAACGAGAAGUAGGGGAAAAAAGAGAGAGAAAAAGACAAUUUCUUUUCUACAGUGGACUCUUCAGUUUGUGGUUAUCGGCGAGAGGCACACAGAACUGAACGCUAUUGCGCGAAACAAUUUCCUCCGUUUCUUACUACGAUUCUGUUUCACGCAUAGUUCCGGCCGUUUCCCCGCGUGCUUUUAUUUUAUUCGAGAAUAAAAGAAAAAAGAAGAAAAUAUAAGAACCGUGCGUGUUAAAUAUAUACGUGUGAAAAUUGUACGAAGAAAAAAAAUUAUAAAAAUGCUACUCGGAACAUGAAAAAAAAAAAGAAACAAGAAGAGGUUAGAAUGGAAACUUGUGAACGUAAUGAAAAUAUAAUUAAUAUGUAAAAAGAAUGAUGAUGUUCUCUUUGUCGAAUGAAGAAAAAAAGAAUAUGAAAUGUAAACGGAGUAUGUAUAAAAUGUAUUUUAAGUCUGGAUAAAAAAAAUCAAUUUACACUUACAAUUUACAGUAACGAGUAACAAUAACUGAUGUGGGUUGUGCAUAAGAAAAGAAAACAAAAACAAAAAGAAAAAAAAAUGAAAAGCGUAUAUAUACAGUAAACAUGGCGAUUCGUGAUAAUGGAGAAUCGGAUCGACUCAAUGAUCAAAUUGCGCACGUGCUGCGUGUAGAAAACAAGUUUUCGUCCCAGUGCGGAUUCACUUCUUUCCUGACUGUUCUUUUUUAUUUUGUUUUGUCAUUCUGCUUAUAUAAUUAAAUUAUGUGAUUCUCACUUCAGUUAAUCGUAUUCCAUUGUUUCUGAUAAACUUGCAUAACAUUGUUUUAAAAUUUAUUCAUUUUUUAUUGAAUUUUUUGUUAAAAUUCAGUAAAAAUAAAAUUAAACAUAAUAGAAAAAA